AUGUUGAUGCAAGACUACUUCGCGGAGAAUCCAGCAUAUCCAACGCACAUCUUCCAAAGAAGGUACCGAAUGCGCCGAUCCUUCUUUGUAAAAAUUGUUCAAGCUUGCGAGGCCAAUUGUCGGUAAUUUACUCAAAAAAGAAAUGCCUCGGGCUUGAAGGGAUUUAGUGCAUAUAAAAAAAUCUCGGCAGCUAUGCGGGUAACUGCAUACGACAUUCCUGCUGACUAUGCCGAUGAGUAUCUUCGCAUUUGUGAAGAUACUACUAUUGAAUCAGUGUCUUUGGUCAUGAAUAUCUUUGGGCACCCAACGAGGAAGACGGAAAAAAAAUUGAUGGCAUCUAAUGAGAGAAGAGGUUGGCCUCGCAUGCUAGGAAGCAUAGAUUGUAUGCAUUGGACGUGGAAAAAUUGCCCAAAGGCAUGGCAGAGAAUGUAUUGUGGCAAGUCUCGUGAUGCAACAAUUGUGCUAGAGGCCGUAGCAUCUGAGGAUUUACGAAAGAGCAUUCGGGGUUUUGCAAUCUAG
rnacentral:rRNA from 1 species